CAGGAGUAAUUUUAUAGUGCCCAAGUGUGUGCGCAAAAAAAAUUUGAUGUCUCCGAUUUAGUUCAAAUUCGGGGAGGGGUAGCCGAGGUGUUGUCUUUGAUGUUGGAAGAAACCCCGUUCCUCUAGGCUUAUUGGGAGCGGAGUUAUAGCGGAGUUAUGGCUGCUUUUGUUAGACGUUUGACAGUUGCCGAGCUGUCAAUGUCAAAGUUUGAAUGCUUGUAACUCGGCAACUAUUUGUCCUGGAUAUGGGGUUCUUCGGCUUGUUCUU